UCUAUACGACUUUAUUAAGGUGGCAGAGCACGGUAAUUGCAAAAGACUUAAGCCCUUAACACCGAGAGUUCAAACCCCUCCCUUAAUU
rnacentral:tRNA from 1 species